rnacentral:lncRNA from 1 species
AUGAAUUGCCAACAAAGUUGUCGAACAUUCAGUUCAUUAAGGUUCAAGUUCAGAUGGUUAGACAGCAUCACCAACUCAAUGGAUAUGAAUUUGAGCAAACUCCAGGAGAUAGAAGAAGACAGGGGCCCUGGGUGCUGCGGUCCAUGGGAUCACAAAGGGUUGGCCACAGCCUACCAACUGAGCAACCAACAAAUUCAGUGUCUCCUCGGUUCGCUGGCUUCAUGCUCUAACCAACAGAAGCAAGUGGCCUCCACUUUUAAAUCUUCCGGGAUCUAAAGGAUCCUGACAAGAAGAGACCUAUUUGAUUUCCAUGGGCGAUCAUUUAACCCAAAAGUACAACCUCAAGGAUGUGAGAGAUAUCCUCACAUGUACACAGAGUCAUUGCUCUGUGCAAUUACCUACUAGAAUAGCCAAAGCUGGAAAAAUCUAAAGGGCUAGCCAAAGGAGAAUACAUUAUGGAAUAUCCAUACUAAAUAACGCAACACAGGGAUUUAAAAGAAUGUACAAACAUGAAAAAUCUACAAGGUAUAAUUAGAGGAAAAAAAGAAACUGCAAAACAAUACAUGCUAAAUUAUCUAGUUCAUGACUUUUAAAACCCACAAAGAUAUGUGUACAAAGGCACAAAAAUAGCCUGGAAUGAUACACACUAAGCUGUUAAGAACAGUUAUUUUGAGGAGAGGAGGGAAAAUGGGAGAAAGAUUAUCUCAGUUUCUCAUACAAAGAAGAUUCUGUCUUUGGCUCUUGCCAUAGUGGAAAGUGCUGGGCUCCGCCGCGCCCAACGCAGUUCUGGGGUCCCCAGUACAACCCAGGUAGAAUCUUGGCAUCUAGUCCUAUCACUUCAUGGCAAAUAGAAGGAGAAAAGUGGAAGCAAUGACAAUUUUAUUUUCUUGGGCUCCAAAAUCACUGUGGAUGGGACUGCAGCUGUGAAACUAAAAGCCACUUGCUGCUUGGAAGGAAAGCUGUGACAAACCUCAGUUCAGUUCAGUUCAGUCGCUCAGUCGUGUCCGACUCUUUGUGACCCCAUGAAUCGCAGCACACCACCAACUCCCAGAGUUCACUCAGACUCACGUCCAGCUACCUCAUCCUCUGUUGUCCCCUUCUCCUCCUGCCCCCAAUCCCUCCCAGCAUCAGAGUCUUUUCCAAUGAGUCAACUCUUCUCAUGAGGUGGCCAAAGUACUGGAGUUUCAGCUUUAGCAUCAUUCCUUCCAAAGAAAUCCCAGGACUGAUCUCCUU